CCUACGGGUGGCUGCAGUGGGGAAUAUUGGACAAUGGGCGAAAGCCUGAUCCAGCCAUGCCGCGUGUGUGAAGAAGGCCUUCGGGUUGUAAAGCACUUUCAGUGGGGAAGAAAGCCUUGGGGCUAAUACCCUCGAGGAAGGACAUCACCCACAGAAGAAGCACCGGCUAACUCCGUGCCAGCAGCCGCGGUAAUACGGAGGGUGCGAGCGUUAAUCGGAAUUACUGGGCGUAAAGCGCGCGUAGGCGGUCUGAUAAGCCGGUUGUGAAAGCCCCGGGCUCAACCUGGGAACGGCAUCCGGAACUGUCAGGCUAGAGUGCAGGAGAGGAAGGUAGAAUUCCCGGUGUAGCGGUGAAAUGCGUAGAGAUCGGGAGGAAUACCAGUGGCGAAGGCGGCCUUCUGGACUGACACUGACGCUGAGGUGCGAAAGCGUGGGUAGCAAACAGGAUUAGCUACCCGUGUAGUC
rnacentral:rRNA from 1 species